rnacentral:rRNA from 1 species
UGGGGAAUUUUGGACAAUGGGCGAAAGCCUGAUCCAGCAAUGCCGCGUGUGUGAAGAAGGCCUUCGGAUCGUAAAACUCUGUCUUUUGGGGCGAACGUGAGUAUGGUGAACAAUCAUAGUCAGUGACGGUACCAAAGGAGGAAGCCACGGCUAACUACGUGCCAGCAGCCGCGGUAAUACGUAGGUGGCAAGCGUUGUCCGGAAUUAUUGGGCGUAAAGAGCGCGUAGGCGGGAUAGUCAGUCUGUUGUAAAGUGCGGGGCUCAACCCGUGAUGGCAAUGGAAACAGCUAUUCUUGAGUGCAGGAGAGGAAAGUGGAAUUCCCAGUGUAGCGGUGAAAUGCGUAGAUAUUGGGAGGAACACCAGUGGCGAAGGCGACUUUCUGGACUGUGUCUGACGCUGAGGCGCGAAAGCCAGGGGAGCGAACGGGAUUAGAUACCCCCGGUAGUCCUGGGCCGUAAAACGAUGGGUACUAGGUGUGGGGAGGUAUCGACCCCCUUCCGUGCCGGAGUUAACGCAAUAAGUACCCCCGCCUGGGGAGUACGGUCGCAAGACUGAAACUCAAAUGAAUUGACGGGGUCAUAGCUGUUUCCUG